GAUGAACGCUGGCGGCGUGCCUAAUACAUGCAAGUCGAGCGAACAGACGAGGAGCUUGCUCCUCUGACGUUAGCGGCGGACGGGUGAGUAACACGUGGAUAACCUACCUAUACGACUGGGAUAACUUCGGGAAACCGGAGCUAAUACCGGAUAAUAUAUUGAACCGCAUGGUUCAAUAGUGAAAGACGGUUUUGCUGUCACUUAUAGAUGGAUCCGCGCCGCAUUAGCUAGUUGGUAAGGUAACGGCUUACCAAGGCAACGAUGCGUAGCCGACCUGAGAGGGUGAUCGGCCACACUGGAACUGAGACACGGUCCAGACUCCUACGGGAGGCAGCAGUAGGGAAUCUUCCGCAAUGGGCGAAAGCCUAACGGAGCAACGCCGCGUGAGUGAUGAAGGUCUUCGGAUCGUAAAACUCUGUUAUUAGGGAAGAACAAAUGUGUAAGUAACUAUGCACGUCUUGACGGUACCUAAUCAGAAAGCCACGGCUAACUACGUG
rnacentral:rRNA from 1 species